AGAUGCUGGGGCCUGGCGGAGGAACCACCACGGCGGGAAGGGCAGGUGCACCGGCGGCCUCGAUUUCGUGCCGUGGAGAGGUCGUGCCCUUUCUCGGUCGGUGGUGGCGGGGAACGGCGAGCUCUCGCAGCGGCGGGGAACGGCGAGCUUGGCCGCCUCCCAUCCUCUCUCUCCGCAAGCUCCUCUCAGCGCGACUUUGGUGAAUGCUAGGCAGCGCAACAGGCUGCAAGGUCGCGUGGAUGGAGAUGAUUGCGUGGACCACGGCUACGGGGCGGUUCACCAUGGGAGACGGCUGAGGGAGUGACCGGGGCGGUUCCACGCGGCAGCGGCCGGCACGCAGGGGUCCACGAGUGAGCAGCCCAAUGGUGGUGCGCGGCCAGCUCAUGGAUGUGGCCAAUUGCUAGCUUGGGUCGCUGCUGCUUAGUCUGCUUCUUUUGUGUGCAUACUGCAUACCACCGCAUGGACCACAUCCUAGGACAAGUCUCAGCAAUUUAAUCGGACACGCAUCUCCUGCUACCGCUGCAUCCACGGAGGUCUCAUCGACAUCAACAUCAAAUAUGCCAAAAAUUGUAUGUUUGUCCUUAAGAAAGCUGCUUGCCGAGGUGAAACUGAUUCCGGUUUCUGAAGACCCACAUGGCUUAUGAUGGUUAAUAACCGUG